UACGAAGGGGGCUAGCGUUGCUCGGAAUCACUGGGCGUAAAGGGUGCGUAGGCGGGCCUUUAAGUCCGGGGUGAAAUCCUGGAGCUCAACUCCAGAACUGCCUUUGAUACUGAAGAUCUUGAGUUCGGGAGAGGUGAGUGGAACUGCGAGUGUAGAGGUGAAAUUCGUAGAUAUUCGCAAGAACACCAGUGGCGAAGGCGGCUCACUGGCCCGAUACUGACGCUGAGGCGCGAAAGCGUGGGGAGCAAACAGG
rnacentral:rRNA from 1 species